ensembl:lncRNA
CCAGAAAGCAAGGGAACUAGGUCUACAACCAAGAAUCAACUACCCAACAAAACUGACUAUAUUCUUACAGGGGAAAGUAUGGUCAUUCAAAACAAUAGAAGAAUUCCAAGCAUUCGUAAAGAAAAGACCAGACCUGGACAGAAAAUUUGAUGUCCAACCACAGAACUCAAGAGAAUCAUCAAAAGUUGGAUGUACAGUUCCUCACUUGUUGGUUACCUGUAAAGCAUGCAACAAAACAGUGAGAUAUGAUGGUAAAACCAGAAGCUUCUUGGAAGAAAUGAAAAAUAGUCUUAGCACUCCCAAGAUUAAGCCUGGCAUGAAGACACCAGAUAUAAAAUCUUCAGGAUCUACAAAGAAAAAGAAGAAAUCCUUCAGUAGUAAUAAAUCCAGUUCCAAAGACAAUAGUCCAGCAUUAAUUUUCAGAACACCUACAUCAGGACAGUCAACACCCAGUUCCUCCUCAGAGUCUCAAUAAAAUGAAGCGUCAUUUGUCUCAACUGAAAAUACUGCUCAAUAGUGAAGAAAGCCAAAAAACUCCAUCAAAGGAUUUCCGAAAUUUCUUGUCCUUACUCUGAGCAAUGAAUUUGGUGGUGAACAUUAAUAGUUUUUGACUUUGGAGCAGUUGCUGAAGGAGGAAAGACUGAUUUUUCCUGACAGUUUUAGGUUUUCUGGAUAUCUGUAGCAAACAAUUAUCUUUGACAUCCUUUUCAGUACUUAUUAACUGAUGCUCCUGGACUGCCCGGCACAUAGUAGGAACUUAAAUAUUUGGCCAGUUGUGCUAGGCCACCCUGGGAAGGAUAACACCAUGGAAAUGAUACAGAAAUCUUUUCCAGCUUACCAUAUGGUUUUUACAAGGUGCAGAUUAGAUAAUCUAUGAGAUCACAUUCUAACAUUAGUGUUUUACAUACUUAACAUGUGGCAAGAUGGUGGUGUUUAUUAAAAUUAUUUUUUAAGGUGAUAUAAAAUCAGUUUAAUCAUUUACAAACUUUUUUUCUGAAGAAAAUUAGUAUUUACUACCAGAAUGUUUACUGAGUCUUAAGCAAUUCUUCUAAGAUUUAGAUUCAUCUUUACUCAUUCAUUUUACUACAUCAUUGGUUUGUACUGAAAACCUUUUUUUAUUUUUAAAAUUUUUAAUGAAUUAGAAAAUAUUGGAUUAAAGGAGGACAUAUAAGUUAUUCUUCGUUGCUCAGAGUAGUUUCUAUUAGCUAUAUGUAUGUAUAAGCCCAUUUGUAUUCAAUAGUUUCAUUAAGCUAUAUUUGCAAAUUUCCCACCCAUCUUUCACUGAACAAGGAGCAACAAAACAAACCAAAAAAAUGUUUUUAAUGAAAAUCUUGACAUUUGUUUUGUCUUACUAUAUCAGAAUGUGAUCUAACAAGUCUUGACACUUUAACCAUCAUUUUGUGAAGGAAAAAAAGCCACUAAAAAUCUCUAUUACAAGUGUAGUUUAAAAAGACAGAAUCACCGAUCUCACAUCUUCUUCCAUUGACCACAACUGAGUGAUAAGACUUGUCUGUAGACUUCAGAAAAAUAGUAUUCACGGGUCGUCUUCAAGAGAGUUCUGCAAAAACAGAGUCCUACUGAGCAAAUGGGGGAAAGUCUGAUGUACAUAUAAUGUAUGGUUCAGGUCUGAGUCUAAUCUGAUUCAUCACAUCAAAAAAUAAUUGUAGAAUAGCAAAGACUGGAACUUGGAAGGGAAAAAGAAAAGGAGGAGAAAUGUUAUCUCUUAUCUCUUCUUGUUAAGUAUAGAAAUACUGUCUGCACAUUCUCCUUUAGAGAGAGAUGUAAAUACAUACAGCUUGUAGUCACUUCUGUCUCCCCAAUCCUAGUUUAUUCUUGGAAAAAUGUUUCACCUAAGAAGAUACUUUAAUUUGUUUCAGUGGAAACAAUUUAAAAACUAUUUCAUAACAUAGUAUAGUAGCUUCAGUUUGUUUUUUUCCAAUAAAAUUUUAUCCUGUUAAAAUGGUACUGAAGCU